GUGGCUCAGUGGUAGAGUGCUUGCCUAGUAUGCAUGAAGCCCUGGGUUCAAUUCCUCAGC
rfam:Dipodomys ordii contig_54122, whole genome shotgun sequence.